rnacentral:snoRNA from 1 species
CAUUCCUUGGAAAAGCUGAACAAAAUGAGUGA